GCAGCGGGCAGGGCGGGCCGUUUGCCGCGGCUGAGACCACAAGGCAAUAGUGGCGCCAGUAACACCGUGGAGGCUGAACCCCGCCCCUGGCAGGUUUCGUUGCGGGACGUUGACGAGCGGUCUCUGAAGUCUGUCACGGACAUACCAGCAUUUGUAGGAUUGCUGUUAUUGUCUUAGACUUUCGAACCGAGUCAGGCCCUGGCGGGAACAGCUCUUAGGAAGAGUGGUGGAGCCUCAGAGAGUGCCGCUUUGAGAAACGCAUCGAGCAUGCCUGCUUCGGAAAGGACAGUCGAAACAUCGUGGGCCGCUGC
rnacentral:SRP_RNA from 1 species